rnacentral:rRNA from 1 species
AGUGAACGCUGGCGGUAGGCCUAACACAUGCAAGUCGAACGGCAGCACAGUAAGAGCUUGCUCUUACGGGUGGCGAGUGGCGGACGGGUGAGGAAUACAUCGGAAUCUACUUUUUCGUGGGGGGUAACGUAGGGAAACUUACGCUAAUACCGCAUACGACCUACGGGUGAAAGCAGGGGAUCUUCGGACCUUGCGCGAUUGAAUGAGCCGAUGUCGGAUUAGCUAGUUCGCGGGGUAAAGGCCCACCAAGGCGACGAUCCGUAGCUGGUCUGAGAGGAUGAUCAGCCACACUGGAACUGAGACACGGUCCAGACUCCUACGGGAGGCAGCAGUGGGGAAUAUUGGACAAUGGGCGCAAGCCUGAUCCAGCCAUACCGCGUGGGUGAAGAAGGCCUUCGGGUUGUAAAGCCCUUUUGUUGGGAAAGAAAAGCAGCAGGUUAAUACCCCGCUGUUCUGACGGUACCCAAAGAAUAAGCACCGGCUAACUUCGUG